rnacentral:rRNA from 1 species
AACGCUGGGGGCGUGCCUAAUACAUGCAAGUCGAACGAACUCUGGUAUUGAUUGGUGCUUGCAUCAUGAUUUACAUUUGAGUGAGUGGCGAACUGGUGAGUAACACGUGGGAAACCUGCCCAGAAGCGGGGGAUAACACCUGGAAACAGAUGCUAAUACCGCAUAACAACUUGGACCGCAUGGUCCGAGUUUGAAAGAUGGCUUCGGCUAUCACUUUUGGAUGGUCCCGCGGCGUAUUAGCUAGAUGGUGGGGUAACGGCUCACCAUGGCAAUGAUACGUAGCCGACCUGAGAGGGUAAUCGGCCACAUUGGGACUGAGACACGGCCCAAACUCCUACGGGAGGCAGCAGUAGGGAAUCUUCCACAAUGGACGAAAGUCUGAUGGAGCAACGCCGCGUGAGUGAAGAAGGGUUUCGGCUCGUAAAACUCUGUUGUUAAAGAAGAACAUAUCUGAGAGUAACUGUUCAGGUAUUGACGGUAUUUAACCAGAAAGCCACGGCUAACUACGUGCCAGCAGCCGCGGUAAUACGUAGGUGGCAAGCGUUGUCCGGAUUUAUUGGGCGUAAAGCGAGCGCAGGCGGUUUUUUAAGUCUGAUGUGAAAGCCUUCGGCUCAACCGAAGAAGUGCAUCGGAAACUGGGAAACUUGAGUGCAGAAGAGGACAGUGGAACUCCAUGUGUAGCGGUGAAAUGCGUAGAUAUAUGGAAGAACACCAGUGGCGAAGGCGGCUGUCUGGUCUGUAACUGACGCUGAGGCUCGAAAGUAUGGGUAGCAAACAGGAUUAGAUACCCUGGUAGUCCAUACCGUAAACGAUGAAUGCUAAGUGUUGGAGGGUUUCCGCCCUUCAGUGCUGCAGCUAACGCAUUAAGCAUUCCGCCUGGGGAGUACGGCCGCAAGGCUGAAACUCAAAGGAAUUGACGGGGGCCCGCACAAGCGGUGGAGCAUGUGGUUUAAUUCGAAGCUACGCGAAGAACCUUACCAGGUCUUGACAUACUAUGCAAAUCUAAGAGAUUAGACGUUCCCUUCGGGGACAUGGAUACAGGUGGUGCAUGGUUGUCGUCAGCUCGUGUCGUGAGAUGUUGGGUUAAGUCCCGCAACGAGCGCAACCCUUAUUAUCAGUUGCCAGCAUUAAGUUGGGCACUCUGGUGAGACUGCCGGUGACAAACCGGAGGAAGGUGGGGAUGACGUCAAAUCAUCAUGCCCCUUAUGACCUGGGCUACACACGUGCUACAAUGGAUGGUACAACGAGUUGCGAACUCGCGAGAGUAAGCUAAUCUCUUAAAGCCAUUCUCAGUUCGGAUUGUAGGCUGCAACUCGCCUACAUGAAGUCGGAAUCGCUAGUAAUCGCGGAUCAGCAUGCCGCGGUGAAUACGUUCCCGGGCCUUGUACACACCGCCCGUCACACCAUGAGAGUUUGUAACACCCAAAGUCGGUGGGGUAACCUUUUAGGAACCAGCCGCCUAAGGUGGGACAGAUGAUUAGGGUGAAGUCGUAACAAGGUAGCCGUAGGGAG